AUGGUGGUGGCCUCGUGCGACGACGGAGGGAUCUGCCUGGACCUGAACCUAACGCCUUCGGAGAACUGCGGCAAAUGCAAGAGCGCGGCGGUGCUCCGUGCCGCUACUGGGCAGGGUGUACAUAAGGCGCUGGGCGGGCACAUGCGCGGGCACCAAGCCGAGGCCGAGGCCAAGGCCCACGCGUCGAGCGGGAAGGAAUGUUGGGAUAAGUCGGGAAAAAGGCAACCUUAUGGCAGAUUGGAAGAUUCUAAUAUCUCCAUUUCAAUUUGCUGA
rnacentral:rRNA from 1 species